rnacentral:lncRNA from 1 species
GUACAAGUCCAUGCACAGAAGCUGUUGCAUAUUUCCCAUGUACCAGAGGUCAAACCUUGAGAGAUGAGCCCCAUGGGCACAGAACUUUUCAAAUUCUGGAUUAGAGUGAAGAUUGCUGCCAUGUCCUGCCAUCUGUCCAUCUGUUACACAAGGAAGUGUCAAUAUUUAUUUAGCUUUUAA